rnacentral:rRNA from 1 species
CCUACGGGAGGCAGCAGUAGGGAAUCUUUCACAAUGGGCGAAAGCCUGAUGGAGCAACGCCGCGUGCAGGAUGAAGGCCUUCGGGUUGUAAACUGCUUUUAUAAGCGAGAAAUAUGAUGGUAACUUAUGAAUAAGGAUCGGCUAACUACGUGCCAGCAGCCGUGGUCAUACGUAGGAUCCGAGCAUUAUCCGGAGUGACUGGGUGUAAAGAGUUGCGUAGGUGGCAUAAUAAGUAGCUAGUGAAAUCUGGUGGCUCAACCAUUCAGACUAUUAGCUAAACUGUUAAGCUCGAGACCGUUAGGGGUAACUGGAAUUUCUAGUGUAGGAGUGAAAUCCGUAGAUAUUAGAAGGAACACCAAUAGCGUAGGCAGGUUGCUGGGACGGUUCUGACACUAAGGCACGAAAGCGUAGGGAGCAAACGGGAUUAGAUACCCCUGUAGUC